rnacentral:lncRNA from 1 species
AGUUGGGCGGCCUUAUAACCAACUUACUUGAGACCAAAGCUCCCGCUCCCAUUCCUGGCCCCCAUCCGUUCCUGUUCCCCCAACGGCCGCCCCAGCUCCAGCCCCCGCCCCGGGACCUGGCUGGGUCAAGGGUCAGUCAGCGACAGGUGCACCCUGGGAGACAGUGAGAUCUGGAGCUAAGCCUAGGCUGCUCCCCCACAGCCCAUGGGUGACUCUCCGUGGUGGCCAAUGCAGUCAGUGCGUGCAUAUCCAGCUUACGUUUAUCUUUUCUGGAAAGAAUCUGUCUCAACAGGAGAAGGAAGCAGUCAGGUCCCCAUGGAAUCUAGCUCGAUCUAUCCAAAGAAUAGCACAAACCCUCGAGUGUUUCCGCUCUCCUAAGAAAGGACGAGCAAGGUGAGAUAUAGAAAAAUCUGGACUCCACCAAUCAGAGUAAGGAUGUGUGAACAAAAAGCUAGACCUCAAGCUGAGGCACAGCUCAUCAGAGACAACUUAUAAGGAAGACUACAUUUCAGUCUGGAGAAAUUGAUUGGUAUAUGUGAGUAUGCUGUAAUACAAAGGCGUUGGCUAACAGAAGCUGUAAUAUUCAGAAUGUAAUUACAUAUGUUUAAUUUUUAUUUUCAGCAGUGUUACUAAACAAAAUAAAAAACAAGAUCAGACUUUCCCCA